GAAAUAACUGUUGUCUGAGGACAAGGAGCUUGACUGAGGGGAAGAACCUGCAUUAACCCUGAAGCUAUUGUCUCUGUCUUUUCCUCUCUGUUUUGUUGAAAGCAUAAAAUCUCUUAAAGCGCAAGGAAAUGCAUCAGAAUUGUCCUUGAACCAUUUUAGAUGUGAAGGGUCCAAGACUUGCUACAGUGCUGACUGGCCACGUGGCUACAAAGUCACUGGAUGAGGAUGCUCCUAGGAGUUUUAGGCUCCUAGGACUUUCAAGACCUUUUCGCUGGAGAGAAAAGGUGAAAACUUGACCUAGUUAUCUCCUUAAAUCAGCAGAAGGCUGCUCAAGGUGCUGCUGAGAGUUUUGGGUGCAGGUACAACGUGAGGUACUUGCUGUCUUGCGAAUGCUUUCUUUGUUCAGUGUUGCUUGUAAUCAGGAGCCAGGCAUUAGCUAGCUCGGCUGUUCCUGUACAAUAUUGGUUACAGUUCUACCAGGUGCACAAUUAGAAAAUUAUCUUCCAGCCUAAGUGGGGAAUGUCAGAGGGCACUUCAGUUUCUUUCACUGUUAAUUCUUUGGCUUGCUUUAAAUAAGUCAUAUCAACAAAUGGUCUGUUACUACCAGUAAUAAUAGGGCUUUUGAAAUGUGUACAUAUCUCUAAUGAG
rnacentral:lncRNA from 1 species